GCCACUGCCACAGCCACCACCACACCCCGCAGCUCCUAAGACCGCUCUGCCCGGGCACUUUCCAGGUGUGCGAGCUUGCGUCAUCUUCACUGAGCCUGAAGAAACCGACUGGGCAAUUUCUGGAUUAUAAGGGCUUCCCACUUAUCAGCCCCAGACCAUCUGGGUGCCCAGACGAGGCAUCUGCUGGUAGCCCAGCCUGUGUAUGUCCUGAAACCCACAACAGCUUCAUCAGGCUCUAACUCAAAGUGGCCUCGGUCGCGUCACCUGAAACGGAAGCUGGUAGUGCCUACCUCAUUGGAAUAACAAGAUUAUAAAUGGAGACUCAGCUCCUGAAGUCAUAGUAUUAUAACGGAUGCUGCAAAGAAAAUUUACCUGUGUGGGUUUCAAGAAACAGACAAGGCUCCCAGAAAGGAAGAUUUUAUUUCUAAAUACACUUUCUCCUUGUCCGCUGGGUCUGUGACAUGUCUGUAGGCGUGCCGGGGGAGCAAUAUUUUGAACAUACCCAAAUCUAGACUGUCCUGGUCUUCAGGUUCAUUCAGUUCCACCACCGGGCUUUUCACACGCUGGAAAAGAUAAAGUCAGGUGGGUUUUUUACAAGUUACUUGAUAACACAAAUGUUUAUUUUUGUAAAUGAAAAAACAACCUAUGAAAACAUCAGUAAAGACAUGUUACAUGUGUCACCACAUGUAAACAGAAAACUAAUCUUGUACUUAAUAUUAAGAGCUAGAACUAAGGGAAGGCUCUGUUCCAACAUGCCUAAAAGCUAUCCAUAGGUGAUUAUAUAUUCAGAGACUAUCUUCCAGGUUCAUUCUUGCAAUGGCAUUGUCGGCAAACAUCUGUAGAUAUCAUCUUCAAGUACAAAGUUUUGGAAGAGGUAUACAGUCAUCUUGCAUAUACAACUACAACCCAGAAAGACAUCAAGAGUAGAGAUCGAAUAUUCGAUAAAGGAAGCAAUUUCCAGUUCUUCUGAAUGUGCCCUGGGACAUAUCCCUGAGGGUUUUUUGCUUUGGGUUUUUUCCUAUGUUUAUUACUGCUAGGUCUUCACUUCUACUUCAACUCUGGUGAGAAGCACAAAGAUGAAAACGGGCAGGGAAUCAUUACCUUUACGUUCUCCUUCCCAGGCGAUGAUCUGCUGGACGCUGAAUUCUUAACCUCUGCAAAAAGGAUAAUUCUCAUCAGGAUCUGCUGAUAGGAACUUCCAUUUGAAAAAAAAAAAAAAAAGGAAGAAGAAGAAAAAGGGGGAAAAAAAAACUAGAUGAUAAAUAUAAAUGAGUUACUUAGAGCUGUCUGUGUGGAGCUAGGUUUUAGAAAAGGCUUCUUAAAAACCAACUCUCCGAAGAGCAGAGUAUCUGAUAACCUGUCAGCCCACACUCUGGUAUUAUUUGUGUGGACCAAGAUGUAAACAAGCCCAGGAGCUCUCACAGGAAAUCCUGAGGAAGAAAAUGACUGUUAACUAAACAAAUGCCCCUGAUUCAGAAGGAAGGCUGUGCACUGACCGAAGCCUCUUCAAAACAGCACAGAUUCUAAGGACGUGACUCGUACCCACCUGAGGAAAUCCCACACGUCUCUUCCCUCAAGUGCCACCGAUUUCAUAUGUUUCAAAAGAGCCUAAUUCAUUCUAGAGGAGGUCUGGCCUUUCCGUGCCCAUCGUUUAACAUCAAGAACAUCAGCACAGCCCUUGGGCUGGGACCUCAGACAGCACCAGGCUCUGCCCAAACCAGCCCCAGGCACGCUGCCAGUGCUUCUCUCUGAAUAGAGGCUUUCCUGGAAGCAUCAGUGGUCAUGAUGUUCUGGGAUGAACAGGAAGGCCCACUUAAGGUGUAUUUUUCUCUGUGUCUUAAUUGAUUUGUUCUUUUCCCAAAUACUCAGUUGCCCAUAAACAAGAGGCACUGUUGUUGAAAUAACCACCAAAAUAGGUUUGGGCCUGAGGAAAACAGAAGUGUUGGGCACUCCUAACAAGGGCAGUUGGAUGGAGAGCUUUAUCCUGAAUUUGUAUUAAUACACAACACGGUGGGCCCAGGCCCUCCUCUCGACCCCUCGGCUUCCCUGCCCCCCAGGCCCUGCUGGAUGCCAGUUCUGGGGAGCCCCUAGUUUUCCCAGCAGGUGCAUUAACUAGGCAUUCCCGCCACCACUUCGCCACUCCUAUUGAUGCAAGUCACCGGACGCCUCAAACCUCCAAGCGGAUUUAUUCAAGCUCUUCUUUCUGCCUGGCAACAAUGCCAGUUUUCAUCCAUGUUUCUGCUUCGCAAUAGUAUAAGGUUUUCAUGUAGGUGACUUUCCACCACAAAUCUUAACAAGGUAAGGAUGGAGCAGAGAAGUCAACAAAGUCAUGAUGUAUUUUUUUAAAAUUUGCAUAACAAUAACUUUGAAUUUGCUUUACAUCAAGUUAAUAAGGUAUCUACACUCCACGAAAGUAUAUUGCUCCUGAAUAUUAGCAUGUUAGCUUCUAUGAUGAAAAAUGAAAGGGUAACAGCCUCCAUGUCAAGUGGUCAUGGCAACAGACCUCCACAGGGAGUAAGGACAAGGCUGAGCUGACACCCAGCCCGGGCAGCUUUUGUUCCUCAGCACGCCCUCCUCCCUGUACAUGCAAACCCCACACAAGGCCUUCAGGUGGCAGCAGAGUACCAUCUGCAGAACAACACAGCCCAUGAUGGGAAUGUCAAAAUGAGACAACUUCACCCUGCAAAGGCCUGCUGUGGGAGAUCAACCUGAUGAUGGGUGAUGACCUAGAGCGGUGGGAGGGAGGCUCAAGAGGGAGGGGAUAUGGAGAUAUAUGUA